UCCGGCUUGUCACCGGCAGUUUCUUCAGAGUGCCCAGCUUCACCUGAUGGCAACUGAAGAUGAGGGUUGCGCUCGUUGCGGGACUUAAGGCAACACCUCACGGCACGAGCUGACGACAGCCAUGCAGCACCUGUGCAGGCUCCCGAAGGAGCCCCGUGUUUCCACGGGUUUACCCUGCAUGUCAAGCCCUGGUAAGGUUCUUCGUUUAUCAUCGAAUUAAAGAACACGCUCCACCGCUUGUGCGGGUCCCCGUCAACUCCUUUAUGUUUUAGCCUUGCGGCCGUACUCCACAGGCGGGAUGCUUAACGCGUUAGCUUCGCUACGGAGGGGGUCGAUACCCCCCACAGCUAGCAUCCAUCGUUUACGGCGUGGACUAC
rnacentral:misc_RNA from 1 species